AACGCUAGCUACAGGCUUAACACAUGCAAGUCGAGGGGCAGCAUGGUCUUAGCUUGCUAAGGCCGAUGGCGACCGGCGCACGGGUGAGUAACACGUAUCCAACCUGCCGUCUACUCUUGGACAGCCUUCUGAAAGGAAGAUUAAUACAAGAUGGCAUCAUGAGUCCGCAUGUUCACAUGAUUAAAGGUAUUCCGGUAGACGAUGGGGAUGCGUUCCAUUAGAUAGUAGGCGGGGUAACGGCCCACCUAGUCUUCGAUGGAUAGGGGUUCUGAGAGGAAGGUCCCCCACAUUGGAACUGAGACACGGUCCAAACUCCUACGGGAGGCAGCAGUGAGGAAUAUUGGUCAAUGGGCGAGAGCCUGAACCAGCCAAGUAGCGUGAAGGAUGACUGCCCUAUGGGUUGUAAACUUCUUUUAUAAAGGAAUAAAGUCGGGUAUGGAUACCCGUUUGCAUGUACUUUAUGUAUAAGGAUCGGCUAACUCCGUGCCAGCAGCCGCGGUAAUACGGAGGAUCCGAGCGUUAUCCGGAUUUAUUGGGUUUAAAGGGAGCGUAGAUGGAUGUUUAAGUCAGUUGUGAAAGUUUGCGGCUCAACCGUAAAAUUGCAGUUGAUACUGGAUAUCUUGAGUGCAGUUGAGGCAGGCGGAAUUCGUGGUGUAGCGGUGAAAUGCUUAGAUAUCACGAAGAACUCCGAUUG
rnacentral:rRNA from 1 species